GACGAACGCUAGCGGCGUGCUUAACACAUGCAAGUCGAACGGAAAGGCCUCUUUCGGGGGGUACUCGAGUGGCGAACGGGUGAGUAACACGUGAGUAACCUGCCCUUGACUUUGGGAUAACUUCAGGAAACUGGGGCUAAUACCGGAUAGGAGCUCCUGCUGCAUGGUGGGGGUUGGAAAGUUUCGGCGGUUGGGGAUGGACUCGCGGCUUAUCAGCUUGUUGGUGGGGUAGUGGCUUACCAAGGCUUUGACGGGUAGCCGGCCUGAGAGGGUGACCGGCCACAUUGGGACUGAGAUACGGCCCAGACCCCUACGGGAGGCAGCAGUGGGGAAUAUUGCACAAUGGGUGGAAGCCUGAUGCAGCAACGCCGUGUGCGGGAUGACGGCCUUCGGGUUGUAAACCGCUUUCGCUCAUGACGAAGCUUUGUGUGACGGUAGUGGGUAAAGAAGCACCGGCGAACUACGU
rnacentral:rRNA from 1 species